rnacentral:lncRNA from 1 species
AUUGCUUGAAAAGAAAAGGAUGUGCUAGCUGACAGCGAGUGGUUCGAGAAGGAAUAGGGCGGCCUUCCGGUCCAACGUAAUAAAAGAUGGGCGAGGAGUGCUUUCGAGCGUAGGUCAAGACAAAGAAAAUUUACUCUCUCACUCUACAAGUAAAAGUCAGUGCAGUUAAUACGAGUUAGGAAGGCUAUUUGCUCUGAACGCGCUUCCACUAGCCUACAGUCCAAUCAUUUUCCCAUAUUCUCUUAUUAUGUUUAUUUAAAAUGUAUUUUAUUUAUUUUUAAUAAAAACUAUAUAUAUUAUUACAACUAUAUUUAAAAAUUAUAUUAUUUUUAACUAAAUCUUUACAUAUUUUUUAAUUUUAAUGCUGAUGUGAUAUACUGAAUCAGUAAAAAUAUAAUUUAAAAUUAUAAAAUCUAUUUUAUUAUAAAUAAACUAUAUAUUUUUGCUUAUUCUUUACCCUAUUCCAUAAUUUUAGCGGAUUAUUUUUUUUAAUUUUAACUAAAAUUUUCACACUCAUCUAAAUUAAAUCAUAUUUAUAUAGUAAUUUAUUAAAAUAAAAAUAAUUUAAUUAAACUAUUUAUCAAUAGAAAUAUAAUGUAAAAAAUUAACACCAACUUAACUUAAAAUUAAUAAGCACUUAUUUAUAAAUUAAAUAUAGUUUAGUGGAUAAAAAUAAAAGAAAAAUUAAUCUUUGACUAAAAUAAUUUAUAAUAAAAAAUUUAUUUAUAAUAUCUAUAAAUAAUUAAAUUAAAAUAAAAAAACUCAUUUAUAAAAAUAAUUUGUAAGAUUACAUUAAUUUUAAUUAAAGAGGACUUAUUUAAAUAUGAUAAUAAAAUAUUUUUAUUCUAUUUUUUAGUAUAAAAUUAGUGUGAAUUAUUGAAUUCAUUAUAUCAAACAAUACUCAUAUUGAUGCAAUAAGAAAAAAUAUAUUUUUUUACUUAAUAGAAUAACUGAUUCAAAUGGAUUUUACAUUAAAAAAUUAAUUUAUAUGCUAACUAAACAGCCACACAUUAGUUACUAUUACAUUUUUUUAUUUUUUAAUUAAAAUUAAUAAAAAAAUUGACUAAAAUUAACAAUUUACUUAAAAAUUUAACUAAAAUAAAAUUUUAUCAUAUUGUAAUAAGUAAAAUUCAUAUUAAAUUUUUUUUUACUAAUUCAGCAUAUCACAUAAGUAAAUUUUAAUUCUUAAUUGAUCCUUAUUAAAAUUAUUAAUAUUUUUUAUAAUUUAGUUAAAAUUAUAAAAAAAAAUUGAUUAAAAUUGAAAAACAAUAUGUGUUUGGGUAUAAAUAAUAAUUUAUUUUUUAAUAAAAUUAUAUAGAUAUUGUAUUAAUAAAUUAAAAUUAAAAAAAAUUGUCAGCGGAUAAUUUCAUGCCCAACUCCGAUGUCCAACACAGAACGAGACAAAGAGCGGGAUGCCCACAUCUGCAUUACCCAGUUGUCAUUUCUCCAAAGUCACCAAUAAGAGCUAUACACGUUUCAAAUUUUUGGGUUUGUGUUUUUUUUUUUUUCUUUUUCCUCUUAAGAUAAUUCAUAAGACCGAAGAAAAUAUAAAAUUCAUAUGAACUUUCCAUUUAAACAAUGUGUAGUUCCAUAACCCUCUCCCCCUUAUAAAAGAAAAAGAGAUUGAGUGGAAAAGUUUGGUUAAAAUAUAAAUAUCAUUCAUGAUACCAUUGAUAUAUAUAUAGGAGCCACACUUUCUUUACAAAAAUCAAUAAUAAAUACUAAGUCACUUUCAAUUAUAAUUCUUGAAAAAUCUCUAAUUUUUUUAAGCAAUAAAAAUUCUUCACAUGCGAUACUUAGGAGUAAGCGUCCGCAACGGAGCUUCACAAACGACAAUAUCCAAGAAGAUGCUUUGAUGAUUACGAACAAUAAGUACUGAGACUUCCCAAUUAUUAUGCUUAUCUAUUGCUACAUCAACAUUAAGUUUCAACAAAUCCGAGGGUCGCGGCUGCCACUUACCAAUUGAGGGGAAGGCAAGCUAUCUUGAGAAAAUGAAUGAGCAUUGACUUGGUUGAAAUCGUCUUAUGUAUGAAUAGCAGUUGAGAUGAUAACAUUAGUGGGCUUCCUCUUGUGGUUAAAAACAAAAUCAUUCCUAUCCUUCCAUAUGAACCAUAGACGAAAUCUACAUAGUUAAAUUAAAUCUUUUCUAUUGGUAUGAUUAGAUAAUGUAUUGCAAAUCUCAGUGUGUCCAUCACGUUCUGGUUGGCUAAGAGGAAGAAUCUAAGACGGAUUGGAGAGUGAACCCAAAUGUCAAUAGCAUGAUGGCAUGAGAAAAAGAUGUGAUCCAUUGUUUCUUUUUCAUUAUAAAAAUGGCAAUCCGAAGAGAGAUGGCUGAUAUGAUCACGAAGAAGGGAAUUAUAAGGCAACCUUUCUAAGAAUAAAAGCCAAAAAAAAAAAGAAGAAUUUUGCUUGAAAAAUUAGAGCUCCAAAAUUUUCUCCAAAAAACCACUUUAUAGACUAAAGAAUAAGGACCCGGAUCCCUCAUAUUUUGUGAAGAGUCCAAAGAAAGCCUCCUAGCCACCCAAGUAACCAAAUUUAACAUAAUAUUCUCCAUAUUUAUCGAAAUGCCAAACUAAUCAGUCAAGGGAAAGAUACUAAUGGGGAUGGUAAGGAUGUGAUCAAUAUCAUCUCUUUCAAAAAUUAUUUCAAGAGUAG